GGAGUUUGGACCGUCUCUCAGUUCCAAUGUGGCCGAUCACCCUCUCAGGUCGGCUACCGAUCGUCGACUUGGUGGGCCGUUACCUCACCAACUAUCUAAUCGGACGCGAGCCCACCCCAAACCGGUUCCCACCUUUUACCCCCGCACCAUGUGAUGCUGUGGUCUUAUGCGGUAUUAGCACCUGUUUCCAAGUGUUAUCCCCCUGUCUGGGACAGGUUGCUCACGCGUUACUCACCCGUCCGCCACUAGAAUUACCAGAAAUCCUGCCGAAGCUCUCAUUCCAAUAAUCCCCGUUCGACUUGCAUGUGUUAAGCACGCCGCCAGCGUCGUCCUCGAGCCACUGAUCAAACUACU
rnacentral:rRNA from 1 species